rnacentral:tRNA from 1 species
GUUGGUGUAGCUCAGUGGUAGAGUGCAUGCUUUGUAUUGCAUGAUGUCCUGGGUUCAAUCCCUAGCUUCUCCC